UGCCAGCCGCCGCGGUAAUACGGAGGGUGCAAGCGUUGUCCGGAAUCACUGGGUGUAAAGGGUGUGUAGGCGGGGCUGUAAGUCAGAGGUGGAAUCCCACAGCUUAACUGUGGAACUGCCUUUGAUGCUGCAGCUCUUGAGUCCCGGAGAGGUGGCUGGAAUUCGUGGUGUAGCGGUGAAAUGCGUAGAUAUCACGAGGAACACCAGAGGUGUAGACGGGUCACUGGACGGGUACUGACGCUGAGGCACGAAAGCGUGGGGAGCAAACAGGAUUAGAUA
rnacentral:rRNA from 1 species